GUCUUGGUCUCCGUUGACUGGGAGCUGGCUCGACAUGAUUACCUCCUCCAAGCGCUCUCCACUAACAUUUCAGACCACGCGCCCUUGCAUCUCUCGGUUGCUGCUCACCAUUGGCCGAAAAAAAGAUUCCGGUUCGAGUCCUUUUGGCUCAAGAUUGACGGCUUCGAUCAGGCAGUUUGCGAGGCAUGGACCUGUGACCUCGCGAUUGUUGACCCGUUUAAAAGGUUGGACACUCUCUUCAGAAAUGCUGGUGCAGUGCUGCAAGCUUGGGGGCAAAAGAAAGUCGGUAACAUCAAGUUGCUCAUGUCCAUUGCCUCACUUGUGAUUUUCCGGUUUGAUCAAGCCAUGGAAGCUAGAGGCUUGUCGGAGCUUGAGAUUUGGUUGAGGAUAUCGUUGAAGCUAGCCUUGUUGGGGCUAGCGUCCUUGGAGCGCACCAUAGAAAGACAAAGGUCCAGGUUUAGAUGGUUGCAGGAAGGAGACGCAAACACCAAAUUCUUCCAGUCGGUGGCCAACAGAAGAAGGGCUAAAAACUUCAUCCCCCACAUCAGAGUUGGGGAAGAGACCAUCACUGAUCAGACG
rnacentral:rRNA from 1 species